rnacentral:misc_RNA from 1 species
CUAGACUAUGCAUGUUGCCAAUGUUGGUUUAAGUAUAAAAGUAAUACAUAGAAAUUAAUCUUCUAGAUUAACCAUAUCAAAAAUAGGAAAAUGAUACAAAAAGUAAGACCUGUAAUACAUCUUUUUCUUCAUGAUAAAUGAAAACAAUCCUAGCUAUAAUAAAGAGAUCAAAGUGUAACUCCUAAGAACAACUAUGAUAUAAUAUGAAACCCAAUUGUUAGCAACUAUUUUGGUGCCUGUGACUCUUAAUGAAAUUACUUCAUAUUUACAUAAAAAUUAUCUAACUUCAUCCAUUUGGUUUGAUGUAACAAUUCCACUUGAACAACAUUUAGUUUGAUGUAACAUUUCCACUUGAACACCCUCUCGUUCAAAACAAAUAUUUAAAACAAGAUUGACUUGUAAUAUUUUUAGUGAGUUUGACUUGUGAUUGCUCUCAAGACCUGGGCCAAUGUAAUUAUUUGGUGACAUCUUAAUCUCCAUGAUAAAAAUAAAUUAACAUUAAACUAAUAUAUGAUUGUGAACCGAGACAUUAGUCACAGACAUGAGAAGGGAACAAGGUUUCACUCACAUACAUAAGCUUUUUUAAAUGUUACCAAUAGAUAAUUACAAGAGUAUUUUAAAUAUAAGAACCAUUCAUGGAGAGGUGUAGUCCAAAUUUUAGGAGUUGGUAGAGUUUUGACGACUUGCAAUUACAAUGAGUGAGUGCCUGAGUUAACUAACUACAUAACAUAGCUUACGCACUGUGAUUUGCCUAGUCAUAUUCUCAUCUUCCUAUAGUCAAAUCCACGUAUGUUAUCAUUUAAGUAACCAUUUCAAUGGAAUUGGAAUAUAUAAGGGUGAGAAUAUGAUCAGGUAAAACACAAUGCAUCAGUUAAUUCAGUCACUCACUCAUUGUAGUUUUAAAUCUUCAAAACAUCUACCAACUCCUAAAUUUAGAACCUGAGUUACCAUGUUUGAUUCUCAUGCCAUAAUGAACGGAGCCUAGAUAUCCACGUCUACUGCUUGGCAUGGCUUUUAGUAAAUUCAACAGAAGGUCAGUCCAGAAACCACAAAACAGUAAGCUUGCAUUCUAUUUGUUAAUAAUCAAAUGACAAUUAGAUUGACAUAUGGAUCCCUAUCGAUCUUUGCUGAUAAUGUAAAUUAUCAAAUCUCCCUUUAUAACAUAGCACUUGAAACAAUUUAUAAAUGCGUUGUAGUCACAACAAUGCUUCAAUUAAACCCAGUAAUUAAAAGCAAAAACUAAAUAAUAAAGCGAGAUUAACCCCAAAAAAAAUGAAGUUGAGAUUUAAUGCAUACGUUCAACAACGAAGUCCUAGAGAAAGAAAUGAAGCCUAGGGACGAAGAAAAAGGAAUCAUCAGGCAACAAGCUAAAAAUUAUGGCUUACUAUUAAACAACAAAUAAGUCAUUUAUCAUCACAUGUUUCUGAAAAUAUAUUUAAGACUUCUUUGAACCUAAAAUUUAAGUUUUUUUGGGAAAAAAAAUCCAGACAAACAGAUUACAGACUGAAAAUCAUUUACAGAUUAUAUAAAAGGAAGAAAAUAUAUAUUCACAUGAAAGUUUAAUUAAUUUUUAUGGAAAAAUCUGAAAAGCUAUUACUAAAAUGAAUAUUUCUGUGUUAAUAUACUAAGAAUCAUUGGAAAUGCACAAUAAUAGCAACUGCAUAGUAAGCAUAAAUUAGGAAAUACAGCAGUAGAGAUUUCUUGUCUAUGCGCAAAGGGUACUAGGACCAUGGAGAGAUGACAAGAGGGAAUUAUGAUAAUGAAUAUCACAGUCAAAUUGAUUGUUUUACUCGAUGGUGAGCCAUUGGAAGGCAAGCAACAACAGUAUGUCUAUAUCACAUAAGCAACGCUCGUGUGACAAAAUUUUGACAAAUUAUUGAAGUUUGUCAAAGUAAACUUCCCAGCGGUGUCUUCUAUGAUUACUCUAUUUCUAAUUUAUUUUGUCUCUACUUUGUUUAUUUCACCAUUUCGUUUGAAUUCAUUAAUUCAUUUAAUGGUAGUUAUUAACAAAGUAAGAUUUACUUUGUAAAAAACAAAGUUACCAUAGAAACAACCCUUAUCAACCCAUGUAAAAAUACGAGGCACGGUUGUACUACUUUAAACAGGGAAAAUCAUGACCAAAUAAGCUGACAAUGAUAACUAAAUGCCAACCAACGAAAGAAAACAAGUAAAAAAGACCGUCCCGUUUAACCAAAUUUCCAAGUAAGCAAAAAUAAAUAAAUAUAAAACCAUAACACAUAGGGAUAUUACAUAGAAAGCAUAGAUGUACCUGGAUACCUACAUUAUUCACUGACUUCUUCUCCAGAAUCAUCUUCAUCAUCAGUAUCCUCUACAUCCUCUUCAUCAUCAUCUCCUUCCCUUAUUUUGGCAAUCUCUGCCUGCGCCCUCUCCAAAAUUUGCUUCUUCUGCAACUCCAACUCUCUCUGAAAUUCCACCCUCAUCCUCUCCAAUUCCAUCAUCUGUUCCCUCUUACUACUCUCUAUCUUCUCAUAUAUCUCCCCAAACUUCUGCACUGAAUCUGCCAACACUUUCAACCCCUUCACCCCCUCAUUUCCGCCACCCCUCUCCCCCUUCUCCUCUUCCUCUUCAUCCUCUGAUUCACAUGGACUAUCUCGCAUCUCAUCAUUCCCAUUUGCACGGUCCAAAUACACAUGCGUGUCCAUGAAUACAAAUUCUCCUGAAUCCACCCCACAAGCUAAACUAAACCCACUGCCACCUCCAAAUUCUUGCUUCAUUAACAUAUCCAUUUUUCUAAAGUACGCCCAUUUGCUAUUAUUAACACCUUUUGCCUUCUCUUUUUUAUAUUUUCUCUUCAAAACAUCCAUCAUUAGUUUACACUGAGCUUCUGUUCUCUUGAUUUUUGAUGACUCCGACACUUUCUCUGCUACCUCGACCCAGUCAUCGGAUCUUAGGCUGUUCCUGCCCAAUUGCAAGAACCUAUCUCCCCAAACCUCCAAAAGCACGAAUUUCUCGUGCUCACUCCAAUCCGGGGAGAAAUUACCGUCCUCAUACGACAACAAUCUCCCACUUCUCGGAACGAAUUCAUAAUUGGAAACGGAGCUUUUCAGCUUUUGCCUCUUCGGGUAUCUAUCGAAAUCAUUGUUUUGUUGAUCGAAAUUGUGGGAAUACCUUCUAGAGCUAUAGUUGUCGUCGGAAUCUUGAUCGUUGUCUUCACCGAAUUCGUCGUCGUCGUCGUUGUCAUCAUCGUCGACGACGUAAUCAUGAUUGUAGUGAGAGUAUACAGGAGCUUUUCUCGAGCGAUUGAGAGAAUGGGCUUUUGGUGGAAACCUAGCAUCGUCUUCAAUAUCGUCCAUUUUGUUGGUAAAUUUGAGAUUUUGAAUCAAGUUUUACAGGAAAUUAAUGGGAAAGGAAGUGAAUUUGCAGGUUGAACAAACACUGAUUUCUAGGGUUUUUAGGAGUGGUGCAAGAGUUUCAAGUGUCGAUAGGGGAAGAGGCUACGCUGCGCCUGCGGGUGUGGGUGGGUGGGUGAGUGCGUGCUCACUCUAAGGCCACCUUCUAGUUCUACUAUUGGAUUUUCU